AGAGUUUGAUCCUGGCUCAGGAUGAACGCUGGCGGCGUGCUUAACACAUGCAAGUCGAACGAAGCGAUCAGGAGGAAGUUUUCGGAUGGAAUCCGGAUUGACUGAGUGGCGGACGGGUGAGUAACGCGUGGGUAACCUGCCUCAUACAGGGGGAUAACAGUUAGAAAUGACUGCUAAUACCGCAUAAGCGCACAGGGACACAUGUUCCGGUGUGAAAAACUCCGGUGGUAUGAGAUGGACCCGCGUCUGAUUAGCUGGUUGGCGGGGUAACGGCCCACCAAGGCGACGAUCAGUAGCCGACCUGAGAGGGUGACCGGCCACAUUGGGACUGAGACACGGCCCAAACUCCUACGGGAGGCAGCAGUGGGGAAUAUUGCACAAUGGGGGAAACCCUGAUGCAGCAACGCCGCGUGAGUGAAGAAGUAUUUCGGUAUGUAAAGCUCUAUCAGCAGGGAAGAAGAUGACGGUACCUGAGUAAGAAGCCCCGGCUAACUACGUGCCAGCAGCCGCGGUAAUACGUAGGGGGCAAGCGUUAUCCGGAUUUACUGGGUGUAAAGGGAGCGUAGACGGUGAGACAAGUCUGAAGUGAAAGCCCGGGGCUCAACCCCGGGACUGCUUUGGAAACUGCCUGACUGGAGUGCUGGAGAGGCAAGCGGAAUUCCUAGUGUAGCGGUGAAAUGCGUAGAUAUUAGGAAGAACACCAGUGGCGAAGGCGGCUUGCUGGACAGUAACUGACGUUGAGGCUCGAAAGCGUGGGUAUCGAACAGGAUUAGAUACCCUGGUAGUCCACGCAGUAAACGAUGAAUACUAGCUGUCCGGGGCGAAUGGGCCCUGGGUGGCACAGCGAAAGCGUUAAGUAUUCCACCUGGGGAGUACGCCGGCAACGGUGAAACUCAAAGGAAUUGACGGGGGCCCGCACAAGCGGAGGAACAUGUGGUUUAAUUCGAUGAUACGCGAGGAACCUUACCCGGGCUCAAACGACACAGGAACGGCCCUGAAAGGGGUCGGCUCUACGGAGCCUGUGUCGAGGUGCUGCAUGGUUGUCGUCAGCUCGUGCCGUGAGGUGUCGGCUUAAGUGCCAUAACGAGCGCAACCCCCAUCGACAGUUGCUAACAGGUUAGGCUGAGGACUCUGUCGAGACUGCCGGCGCAAGCUGCGAGGAAGGCGGGGAUGACGUCAAAUCAGCACGGCCCUUACGUCCGGGGCGACACACGUGUUACAAUGGCAGGUACAGCGGGAAGCCACCUGGCGACAGGGAGCGGAACCCGAAAGCCUGUCUCAGUUCGGAUUGGAGUCUGCAACCCGACUCCAUGAAGCUGGAUUCGCUAGUAAUCGCGCAUCAGCCACGGCGCGGUGAAUACGUUCCCGGGCCUUGCACUCACCGCCCGUCA
rnacentral:rRNA from 1 species